UGGGGAAUAUUGCACAAUGGGCGAAAGCCUGAUGCAGCAACGCCGCGUGAGUGAUGAAGGUCUUCGGAUUGUAAAGCUCUGUCUUUUGGGACGAUAAUGACGGUACCAAAGGAGGAAGCCACGGCUAACUACGUGCCAGCAGCCGCGGUAAUACGUAGGUGGCGAGCGUUGUCCGGAUUUACUGGGCGUAAAGGGUGCGUAGGCGGAUGUUUAAGUGAGAUGUGAAAUACCCGGGCUUAACUUGGGUGCUGCAUUUCAAACUGGAUAUCUAGAGUGCAGGAGAGGAGAAUGGAAUUCCUAGUGUAGCGGUGAAAUGCGUAGAGAUUAGGAAGAACACCAGUGGCGAAAGCGAUUCUCUGGACUGUAACUGACGCUGAGGCACGAAAGCGUGGGUAGCAAACAGGAUUAGAUACCCUGGUAGUCCACGCCGUAAACGAUGAGUACUAGGUGUAGGAGGUAUCGACCCCUUCUGUGCCGCAGUAAACACAUUAAGUACUCCGCCUGGGAAGUACGAUCGCAAGAUUAAA
rnacentral:rRNA from 1 species